rnacentral:sRNA from 1 species
GACGGAUUUAUAGACGCUGUAGAGGCC